rnacentral:ribozyme from 1 species
AUUUUCUUAUAUUCUUGUUUUUGUUUUUUUUUUUUUUUUUUUUUUUUUGUUUGGUCUCUUCCGAAAAUCCAUCAUUCAAAUCUUUAUGAAGACUCUGAAAUCAAAAUCGACCUGUGUUCGUGUAAAAAAAAAAAAAAAAAA